rnacentral:rRNA from 1 species
CCUACGGGAGGCAGCAGUGAGGAAUAUUGGUCAAUGGCCGGAAGGCUGAACCAGCCAUGCCGCGUGAAGGUCAGUGCCCUAUGGGCGUUAAACUUCUUUUGUGCGGGAGCAAUAAUGGUCACGUGUGGCCAGACGAGAGUACCGUACGAAUAAGCAUCGGCUAACUCCGUGCCAGCAGCCGCGGUAAUACGGGGGAUGCAAGCGUUAUCCGGAUUUAUUGGGUUUAAAGGGUGCGUAGGCUGUGAGGUAAGUCAGCGGUGAAAUGCCCCCGCUCAACGGGGUGAAGUGCCAUUGAUACUGCCUUGCUGGAAUGCGGAUGCCGUGGGAGGAAUGUGUGGUGUAGCGGUGACAUGCAUAGAUAUCACACAGAACACCGAUUGCGAAGGCAUCUCAUGAAUCCGCGAUUGACGCUGAUGCACGAAAGCGUGGGUAUCAAACAGGAUUAGAUACCCUUGUAGUC